rnacentral:rRNA from 1 species
AGUGAACGCUGGCGGCGUGCCUAAUACAUGCAAGUCGAACGGAGAUUAAGUAGCUUGCUAUUUAAUCUUAGUGGCGCACGGGUGAGUAAUAUAUAGCUAACUUGCCCAUUACUAAGGGACAACAGUUGGAAACGACUGCUAAUACCUUAUACUCCGUAUCUAUAUAAGUAGAUACGGGAAAGUUUUUCGGUAAUGGAUAGGGCUAUAUCGUAUCAGCUAGUUGGUAAGGUAAUGGCUUACCAAGGCUAUGACGCGUAACUGGUCUGAGAGGAUGAUCAGUCACACUGGAACUGAGACACGGUCCAGACUCCUACGGGAGGCAGCAGUAGGGAAUAUUGCUCAAUGGGGGAAACCCUGAAGCAGCAACGCCGCGUGGAGGAUGACACUUUUCGGAGCGUAAACUCCUUUUCUUGGGAAAGAAUUAUGACGGUACCCAAGGAAUAAGCACCGGCUAACUCCGUGCCAGCAGCCGCGGUAAUACGGAGGGUGCAAGCGUUACUCGGAAUCACUGGGCGUAAAGGACGCGUAGGCGGAUUAUCAAGUCUCUUGUGAAAUCUAACGGCUUAACCGUUAAACUGCUUGGGAAACUGAUAAUCUAGAGUAAGGGAGAGGCAGAUGGAAUUCUUGGUGUAGGGGUAAAAUCCGUAGAGAUCAAGAAGAAUACCCAUUGCGAAAGCGAUCUGCUGGAACUUAACUGACGCUAAUGCGU